AAAUCGUUCGACGAGGAUCUAUUGGAGGGCAAGUCUGGUGCCAGCAGCCGCGGUAAUUCCAGCUCCAAUAGCGUAUAUUAAAGUUGUUGCAGUUAAAAAGCUCGUAGUUGGAUCUGGGGUUCGGGUCGGCGGUUUGCCGCUUCGGCGGCUACUGCCGUGCUCGACUCUUACUAGCCGGUGCGUCUUGCGGUGCUCUUCAUCGAGUGCCGUAGGAGCCUGGCAUGUUUACUUUGAAAAAAUUAGAGUGCUCAAAGCAGGCGAUUCCGCCUGAAUAGUGUUGCAUGGAAUAAUGGAAUAGGACCUCGGUUCUAUUUUGUUGGUUUUCGGAACUUGAGGUAAUGAUUAAGAGGGACGGUCGGGGGCAUUCGUAUUUCGGUGUUAGAGGUGAAAUUCUUGGAUCGCUGAAAGACGGACAAAUGCGAAAGCAUCUGCCAAGAACGUCUCCAUUAAUCAAGAACGAAAGUCAGAGGUUCGAAGGCGAUCAGACACCGUCCUAGUUCUGACCAUAAACGAUGCCAACUAGCGAUCCGCAGUGGUUGCUAUAAACGGACUCUGCGAGCAGCUUCCGGGAAACCAAAGUGUUUGGGUUCCGGGGGAAGUAUGGUUGCAAAGCUGAAACUUAAAGGAAUUGACGGAAGGGCACCACCAGGAGUGGAGCCUGCGGCUUAAUUUGACCCAACACGGGGAAACUCACCCGGUCCGGACACUGUAAGGAUUGACAGAUCGAGAGCUCUUUCUUGAUUCGGUGGAUGGUGGUGCAUGGCCGUUCUUAGUUGGUGGAGUGAUUUGUCUGGUUAAUUCCGAUAACGAACGAGACUCUAGCCUGCUAACUAGUUGCGCCGUGUUCAUACGCGGCUGUAGACUUCUUAGAGGGACAGGUAGCGUUUAGCCACACGAAAUUGAGCAAUAACAGGUCUGUGAUGCCCUUAGAUGUCCGGGGCCGCACGCGCGCUACACUGAAGGAGUCAGCGUGUGCUAUCCGGGCUCGGAAGAGUUCGGUAACCCGUUGAAACUCCUUCGUGCUUGGGAUUGUGGCUUGUAAUUAUCGCGCAUGAACGAGGAAUUCCCAGUAAGUGCAAGUCAUCAGCUUGCGCUGACUACGUCCCUGCCCUUUGUACACACCGCCCGUCGCUACUACCGAUUGAAUGGUUUAGCAAGGUACUCGGAUUGGUCUCGAUCUUGUACGAAAGUGCGGGAUCUGUGGCCGAGAAGAAGGCCAAACUUGAUCAUUUAGAGGAAGUAAA
rnacentral:rRNA from 1 species